rnacentral:tRNA from 1 species
GUGGAAUUGUGGCUCAGCGGUAGAGCACUCGCCUGUCACGGGUGGGACCCGGGUUCGAUCCUCAGCACCACA